GUUGUGGUUAAAAAGCUCGUAGUUGGAUCUCAACAGUCUUGAAGCGGUCAACUUUGUAGUUGUACUGCUUUGUAGACUGUGCUUUUGCUGGAGGUUUAGGGGUGCUCUUAAUCGAGUGUCUCUGGAUGCCAGCAGGUUUACUUUGAAAAAAUUAGAGUGCUCAAAGCAGGCUAAAAUGCCUGAAUAUUCGUGCAUGGAAUAAUAGAAUAGGAUGUUGAUCCUAUUUUGUUGGUUUUCGGGACUUGACAUAAUGAUUAAUAGGGACAGUCGGGGGCAUUUGUAUUCAAACGACAGAGGUGAAAUUCUUGGACCGUUUGAAGACAAACUACUGCGAAAGCAUUUGCCAAGAAUGUUUUCAUUAGUCAAGAACGAAAGUUAGAGGUUCGAAGGCGAUUAGAUACCGCCCUAGUUCUAACCAUAAACGAUGCCAGCUAGCGAUCUGCCGCUGUUUUUACU
rnacentral:rRNA from 1 species